rnacentral:tRNA from 1 species
GCGCGAGUGGCGAAAUGGCAGACGCGCUGGCUUCAGGUGCCAGUGUCCGCAAGGACGUGCGGGUUCAAGUCCCGCCUCGCGCACAA